AUUGAACGCUGGCGGCAGGCCUAACACAUGCAAGUCGAGCGGCAGCGGGAAUGUAGCUUGCUACUUUUGCCGGCGAGCGGCGGACGGGUGAGUAAUGCCUGGGAAAUUGCCCAGUCGAGGGGGAUAACAGUUGGAAACGACUGCUAAUACCGCAUACGCCCUACGGGGGAAAGCAGGGGACCUUCGGGCCUUGCGCGAUUGGAUAUGCCCAGGUGGGAUUAGCUAGUUGGUGAGGUAAUGGCUCACCAAGGCGACGAUCCCUAGCUGGUCUGAGAGGAUGAUCAGCCACACUGGAACUGAGACACGGUCCAGACUCCUACGGGAGGGAGCAGUGGGGAAUAUUGCACAAUGGGGGAAACCCUGAUGCAGCCAUGCCGCGUGUGUGAAGAAGGCCUUCGGGUUGUAAAGCACUUUCAGCGAGGAGGAAAAGUUGAUGCCUAAUACGUAUCAACUGUGACGUUACUCGCAGAAGAAGCACCGGCUAACUCCGUGCCAGCAGCCGCGGUAA
rnacentral:rRNA from 1 species